rnacentral:sRNA from 1 species
AUGGAACUAUAGGUGAAUGAGGUCCAAUUCUGAUCUAGAUCUAUAUAUAGGUUGUGAUGAAAACGAAGCUCUUCAAUGGGUAUCGGUGGUUGUACAGCACAACAAACAUGGGAUCGUCCGGAUCGCUGACGUGUAUUUUCGUUUUCAGUUGUAUCAUUUUAGCGUCGUUUGGUGAUAGUAAUGAAGAUGACUAUUACCAGUCUGAAACUAAUAUCAGUGAUGUUGAUAAAAAUGCUGUAAUGCGCGCAAGAGUAGUUAGCUGCACAGGAUGACGGCUCAACAAACUUCCAGAGGUCAAGAGGUUCAUUAACAGGGAUCUCCCUCUUUUUCAUAAUGUUGAGUUUAAAGCUAAGCCUGGGGCCAACCCUGAGCUUCAAUUGUUAAAUGUGGAUGAUGAAAUUUUAGAAACAAUAGACCUAAGUCCAUUAGAUGAGACAGAAUGUAACGAUCUGCUACUCCGGAAAGGUUUUUACAAAAAGCCACAUUCUGUAGCCCAAGUCCCAGAUGAGUAUUUAAACGGGCCUUACAUAGAGAUUAAAGUUGAAGCCAAAAAUAGUAAAGUAGACUUAUAACUGUUAAAUAUAUUUGUAAAAAAUUUGUAAUGUUAAAUAUAUCAUUGCAAAGGAACCAAAUCAGACAUACAAAGAAAAGUUUUUGUUUAUAUUCUUAACAUUAGAACAUUCACAUCAAACUGUUUUUUAAUAUUUUUUUUAAGGCUUUUUAAUUUCUCAUAGAAAAUGUUUGAAAUAUUGAUAAAUAUGUGUAUUUAAAGUUCAUACAGCAUUGUGUAAAUUUUACAAAUAAAAGUAUUUAAUUAACUAACGUUUGCUAUGGUGCUACAAUACUAGUUUACCAUUUAGUCUGGUCAGUUCAUAUGUAGGAUAGAUUAAGUUAGAAUGAAUUAUACAAGGCCCUAAGACAGAACAAAAUAUUUGAAUAUUCAGUGAAAUUAUUGUUACUUUUAUUGAGUGUAUACAUUAUACAUUUUUUUUAAUGUCCAAAUAAAAUGUGACUUCAUAUUUGGAAAUAUUUGCAUUAAUUUCUCUUGUAAAUGUGAAUCUUACAAAAGCAUUUAAAUAGUGCAAUAGUUAUGUAAUGAAUGUUCACUGCCAUUUCUUUUUAUUUUCUUUUAAAAUUUACUGGUAAGUCAUACUCUUUUUUUAAGCAAUUUUUUUACACCAAAAAUGAAAUAAAAAAUAUAACAACUGAUAUAAAACUUUAAUAUUGAUACUCAUAUUGAAACUGUUUGCUACAUAUCAUAGCACAAAUAUUUCUCAUAUAAUUUAUUAAGUGUGUCUGUUCAUUAGUCAUGUAUGAGUUAACAUGGUGCUAAGUUGUCACUGCUGAGAAAGUUAUUUUUUUUUUGUUAAAUGUCACUCAACCACUUUACUUCUGCUGAUGAAUGAACCAAUGGCAGAAGGAGAAGGAUUUUUUAUGAAGUCAGUAGCUUAAAUUUAAUUGGUUGCUGGCUGAGUCUUUGAUUUCCUUUAGUCUGUCUUGAUUCAGUUCCUUCCCCUGAGGUAAUUUGGUUGACAGCAUACAUACAUGUUGCAUUUUUUUUUAUGUGAACUGUUGUACAAAUCAUAUUUAAUCUUGAUAUUGUUGGUAGUUGGGAGAGGUUUUCUUUUUUUUUUGACAUUUUUUUUUUCUUUGAUUUAUUUAUUUAAUAUCACCAUCAUUCUUUUAAAGAUUUAUGUGAAUUGUGUUCUAAAAUGUUCCAAAUCAUAUUUUAAAUUUUGGUUUAUUUCAAAAUGUCCCUUAACAAAAUUUGGUGGUAAUUAACACUUCAUGUGAAUGUGAGCUUUCUUUUUUUUGUAAUUUUUGCAUUUGAGAUGUUAACACAAGCUGGAUAAGGAAUUGAGUGUUACAAUUAGAGUUAUUGUGCUCUUUAUAAAAGAAAGAGCACCAUAUUUUUUAUGUAUUAAAAAACAACAACUUUAAUUAAGAUGCAGAAUUGUUUGAAAGUUGUAAUGGCUCUUGAACUAUGUUGUUCUUUUAAGUUGUCUCGUCCUUUUGUAGAUUGAUUGAUGUUAUUGUUCACAAAUGAUUAAAUGAAGAAACUCUGUCACA